AGAUUUCAAUUGCUCCGGGACCGACGCGUCUCCUCACAUGGACCAGGUCUUCACACACCCAAAGCGGCUUUGCAGCGGCAAAAACAAUUGACAACCAGCCUCAUGACCCAGGCAGAGAUGCAGAAAGAGGCUCACCAAAGACAGGCCACCAUGCAAGAAAUCGCUUUGUGGCGCACAGGGCACAUUCGUCCAAAGACACACUUGCACACGGGCACACACAGAAACCGACAGAGAGAGGGAAAGAAGCACACAGUGAGUGAGAGACAGAGAGAGAAGAGAGAAUGGGAGACACACACACACACACACACACACACACAAUCAUACAGCA
rnacentral:lncRNA from 10 species